CUAGCUACAGGCUUAACACAUGCAAGUCGAGGGGCAGCAUGGUCUUAGCUUGCUAAGGCCGAUGGCGACCGGCGCACGGGUGAGUAACACGUAUCCAACCUGCCGUCUACUCUUGGACAGCCUUCUGAAAGGAAGAUUAAUACAAGAUGGCAUCAUGAGUCCGCAUGUUCACAUGAUUAAAGGUAUUCCGGUAGACGAUGGGGAUGCGUUCCAUUAGAUAGUAGGCGGGGUAACGGCCCACCUAGUCUUCGAUGGAUAGGGGUUCUGAGAGGAAGGUCCCCCACAUUGGAACUGAGACACGGUCCAAACUCCUACGGGAGGCAGCAGUGAGGAAUAUUGGUCAAUGGGCGAGAGCCUGAACCAGCCAAGUAGCGUGAAGGAUGACUGCCCUAUGGGUUGUAAACUUCUUUUAUAAAGGAAUAAAGUCGGGUAUGGAUACCCGUUUGCAUGUACUUUAUGAAUAAGGAUCGGCUAACUCCGUGCCAGCAGCCGCGGUAAUACGGAGGAUCCGAGCGUUAUCCGGAUUUAUUGGGUUUAAAGGGAGCGUAGAUGGAUGUUUAAGUCAGUUGUGAAAGUUUGCGGCUCAACCGUAAAAUUGCAGUUGAUACUGGAUAUCUUGAGUGCAGUUGAGGCAGGCGGAAUUCGUGGUGUAGCGGUGAAAUGCUUAGAUAUCACGAAGAACUCCGAUUGCGAAGGCAGCCUGCUAAGCUGCAACUGACAUUGAGGCUCGAAAGUGUGGGUAUCAAACAGGAUUAGAUACCCUGGUAGUCCACACGGUAAACGAUGAAUACUCGCUGUUUGCGAUAUACAGCAAGCGGCCAAGCGAAAGCGUUAAGUAUUCCACCUGGGGAGUACGCCGGCAACGGUGAAACUCAAAGGAAUUGACGGGGGCCCGCACAAGCGGAGGAACAUGUGGUUUAAUUCGAUGAUACGCGAGGAACCUUACCCGGGCUUAAAUUGCAGAUGAAUUACGGUGAAAGCCGUAAGCCGCAAGGCAUCUGUGAAGGUGCUGCAUGGUUGUCGUCAGCUCGUGCCGUGAGGUGUCGGCUUAAGUGCCAUAACGAGCGCAACCCUUGUUGUCAGUUACUAACAGGUUCCGCUGAGGACUCUGACAAGACUGCCAUCGUAAGAUGUGAGGAAGGUGGGGAUGACGUCAAAUCAGCACGGCCCUUACGUCCGGGGCUACACACGUGUUACAAUGGGGGGUACAGAGGGCCGCUACCACGCGAGUGGAUGCCAAUCCCCAAAACCUCUCUCAGUUCGGACUGGAGUCUGCAACCCGACUCCACGAAGCUGGAUUCGCUAGUAAUCGCGCAUCAGCCACGGCGCGGUGAAUACGUUCCCGGGCCUUGUACACACCGCCCGUCAAGCCAUGGGAGCCGGGGGUACCUGAAGUGCGUAACCGCGAGGAGCGCCCUAGGGUAAAACUGGUGACUGG
rnacentral:rRNA from 1 species